CCAUUUGUGUCAAGGUAACGUCUGGAGAAACAAAAGGUCAGGAACGGCCAACGUCCCUACUGGCCACAGUCUAGCCCCAAUCUGCAAGACAGAGCCAGCCGCCCCGGGGGAAUUCCCGCCUGGUGGGACUCCACGUCACCAGCCCGGGCUGGCCCAGGCGGCCGUGGCAGAGGAGACCCCGGACUGGGCGCCCGAGCUCUGCCCCAGCUCCGAGGCGCGGUCGCCGGAGCCGCCUGCCAACCGCCUUCAAGACUUCGACACGCUGGUCACCGUGGGAAAGCAACUAGAAGCCAUUUGUGUCAAGGUAACGUCUGGAGAAACAAAAGGUCAGGAAUGGCCAACGUCCCUACUGGCCACAGUCCAGCCCCAAUCUGCAAGACAGAGCCAGCCGCCCCGGGGGAAUUCCCGCUGAGAAAGCCAAUGGGAGCACCCUCCGGGGGUGCACAGAGGAAAGGACGCUCAGCCUGACCUUCCCGGGGCUGUCCGUGCCAGCGGCUCCGCGUGAGGGAGGGGCCCGCUCCUGCUUGGUGAGAGAGUCAGCACGCGGUGGCCUGCAGCAACCAAAAGAAACCCAUUGGCCACCAUACCCUGAGGACUAACCCUGACACAGAUGCCCUUCCAGAUGCCCUCAAUAGUCUAACUGAUUCCAUCGCCCCAGCCUUGGGGGAGAAGCACUGCUGCCUAUGCACUCCAUUUACAGAGGGUUAUAGAGUGGAAAGUCCCACAAUCUUUUUCUUCUCUAUUUUCAGAAAAACGUUGACCUCUUGGCGAGAAUGCAAAGAAGGGAACGCUUGCUUAUACGCUGUUGGUGAACUGUCACCCCUACAACUCAGCUUGCAACCAGCCCUGGCCACCAGUUUCCCCACACUGAGCUGAAUAUCGGACAUGCCCAUCUCAGACAUUCCAGCCCAUUCUGAAAUUCCACAUCGAUUCACCUGACAAAGUCUGAAGUUCCAGGGCAAUUUAUCUGGAAAAGCUUACCUGGAAUCACGUGUCAUUUCAACCAACAACUGUUGAAGAGGACGUGGCAUUAAAACCAAGGGUAUCA
rnacentral:lncRNA from 10 species